UCCCUGAUGGCCUUGUGGUUAGGGUUUGGGGCUGUCACUGCCGUGGCCCAGGUUUCAUCCCUGGUCAGGGAU
rnacentral:tRNA from 1 species